GCCUACGGGAGGCAGCAGUGGGGAAUAUUGGACAAUGAGGGCAACCCUGAUCCAGCAAUGCCGCGUGAGUGAUGAAGGCCUUCGGGUUGUAAAGCUCUUUCGGCGGGGAAGAUGAUGACGGUACCCGCAGAAGAAGCCCCGGCUAACUUCGUGCCAGCAGCCGCGGUAA
rnacentral:rRNA from 1 species